rnacentral:rRNA from 1 species
AAAGGAGGGGAUCGCAAGACCUUUCGCUUUCGGAGUGGCCGAUAUCAGAUUAKCUAGUUGGUGAGGUAAAGGCUCACCAAGGCGACGAUCUGUAGCGGGUCUGAGAGGAUGAUCCGCCACACUGGAACUGAGACACGGUCCAGACUCCUACGGGAGGCAGCAGUGGGGAAUUUUGGACAAUGGGCGCAAGCCUGAUCCAGCCAUGCCGYGUGAGUGAAGAAGGCCUUCGGGUUGUAAAGCUCUUUCAGCCGGAAAGAAAUCGCACUUGCUAAUACUAAGUGUGGAUGACGGUACCCGGAAGAAGAAGCACCGGCUAACUACGUUGCCAGCAAGCCGCGGUAAUACGUAGGGUGCGAGCGUUAAUCGGAAUUACUGGGCCGUAAAGCGUGCGCAGGCGGUUUUGUAAGACAGACGUGAAAUUCCCCGGGCU